GACGAACGCUGGCGGCGUGCCUAAUACAUGCAAGUCGAGCGAAGCGGCGGAUGGGUGAGUAACGCGUGGGUAACCUGCCCUUAAGUCUGGGAUACCAUUUGGUAACAGAUGCUAAUACCGGAUACUAACGGAUGGACCUUCGAUGCAUUAGCUAGUUGGUAAGGUACCGGCUUACCAAGGCGAUGAUGCAUAGCCGAGUUGAGAGACUGACCGGCAACAUUGGGACUGAGAAACGGCCAAAACGCCUACGGGAGGCAGCAGUGGGGAAUCUUCCAAAAGGGACGAAAGUCUGAUGGAGCAACGCCGCGUGAGUGAAGAAGGUUUUCGGAUCGUAAAGCUCUGUUGUAGGUGAAGCGGUAAUCAACCAGAAAGUCACGGCUAACUACGUGCCAGCAGCCGCGGUAAUUC
rnacentral:rRNA from 1 species